GCCUGGAUGGCUCAAUCUAUUGAGCGUCCGACUUUGAUUCGGGUCAUGAUCUCACAGAUCGUGAGUUUGAGCCCCACUUUGGGCU
rnacentral:tRNA from 1 species